GAUGAAGAACGUAGCGAAAUGCGAUAAGUAAUGUGAAUUGCAGAAUUCAGUGAAUCAUCGAAUCUUUGAACACACAUUGCGCCCGCCAGUAUUCUGGCGGGCAUGCCUGUUCGAGCGUCAUUUCAACCCUCAGGCCCCCAGUGCCUGGUGUUGGGGAUCGGCCCAGCCUUCCUGUAAGGCCGCCGGCCCCGAAAUCUAGUGGCGGUCUCGCUGUAGUCCUCCUCUGCGUAGUAGCACAACCUCGCAGUUGGAACGCGGCGGUGGCCAUGCCGUUAAACACCCCACUUCUGAAAGUUGACCUCGGAUCAGGUAGGAAUACCCGCUGAACUUAAGCAUAUCAAUAAGCGGAGGA
rnacentral:misc_RNA from 1 species